AUUGAACGCUGGCGGCAGGCCUAACACAUGCAAGUCGAGCGGGGUUUUCGGACCUAGCGGCGGACGGGUGAGUAAUGCGUAGGAAGCUACCCGAUAGAGGGGGAUACCAGUUGGAAACGACUGUUAAUACCGCAUAAUGUCUACGGACCAAAGUGUGGGACCUUCGGGCCACAUGCUAUCGGAUGCGCCUACGUGGGAUUAGCUAGUUGGUGAGGUAAUGGCUCACCAAGGCGACGAUCCCUAGCUGGUUUGAGAGGAUGAUCAGCCACACUGGAACUGAGACACGGUCCAGACUCCUACGGGAGGCAGCAGUGGGGAAUAUUGGACAAUGGGCGCAAGCCUGAUCCAGCCAUGCCGCGUGUGUGAAGAAGGCCUUCGGGUUGUAAAGCACUUUCAGUAGGGAGGAAGCGUUGUGUGUUAAUACGUGACGAUUUUGACGUUACCGACAGAAUAAGCACCGGCUAACUCUGUGCCAGCCGCCGCCGAAACAC
rnacentral:rRNA from 1 species